GUGAACGCUGGCGGUAGGCCUAACACAUGCAAGUCGAACGGCAGCACAGUAAGAGCUUGCUCUUACGGGUGGCGAGUGGCGGACGGGUGAGGAAUACAUCGGAAUCUACUUUUUCGUGGGGGAUAACGUAGGGAAACUUACGCUAAUACCGCAUACGACCUACGGGUGAAAGCAGGGGAUCUUCGGACCUUGCGCGAUUGAAUGGGCCGAUGUCGGAUUAGCUAGUUGGCGGGGUAAAGGCCCACCAAGGCGACGAUCCGUAGCUGGUCUGAGAGGAUGAUCAGCCACACGAGAACUGAGACACGGUCCAGACUACUGAGGGAGGCAGCAGUGGGGAAUAUUAGACAAUGGGCGCAAGCCUGAUCCAGCCAGACCGCGUGGGUGAAGAAGGCGUUCGGGUUGUAAAGCCCUUUUGUUGGGAAAGAAAAGCAGCAGGUUAAGACCCCGCUGUUCUGACGGUACCCAAAGAAUAAGCACCGGCUAACUUCGUG
rnacentral:rRNA from 1 species